UGAGGAAUAUUGGUCAAUGGGCGGGAGCCUGAACCAGCCAAGCCGCGUGAGGGAUGAAGGCCCUAUGGGUCGUAAACCUCUUUUGUCAGGGAACAAAAGCGAGUAUGUAUACUAGUCUGAGUGUACCUGAAGAAAAAGCAUCGGCUAACUCCGUGCCAGCAGCCGCGGUAAUACGGAGGAUGCGAGCGUUAUCCGGAUUUAUUGGGUUUAAAGGGUGCGUAGGCGGCGGUGCAAGUCAGCGGUAAAAGCCCGGGGCUCAACCCCGGCGAGCCGUUGAAACUGCAGUGCUAGAGAAGGCGAGAGGUACGCGGAAUGCGCAGUGUAGCGGUGAAAUGCUUAGAUAUUGCGCAGAACUCCGAUUGCGAAGGCAGCGUACUGGCGCCUGACUGACGCUGAGGCUCGAAAGCGUGGGGAGCAAACAGGAUUAGAUACCC
rnacentral:rRNA from 1 species